GACCCCUUAGCUCAGUGGUAGAGCGUGUGAUUCCAGCACUUCGAUUCCACAAGGUCGUCCGUUCAAUCCGGGCAGGGGUCA